GAUCCUGGCUCAGGAUGAACGCUGGCGGCGUGCCUAACACAUGCAAGUCGAGCGAGAAAUCUUGGAAUGAGACUUCGGUUAAGUGAAGAGAUGGAAAGCGGCGGACGGGUGAGUAACGCGUAGGCAACCUGCCUUAUGCAGAGGGAUAGCCAUUGGGAACGAUGAUUAAAACCUCAUAAAGCCAUUUUAUCACAUGGUGAGAUGGUCAAAGAUUUAUCGGCAUAAGAUGGG
rnacentral:rRNA from 1 species